UUUAGAAGAAGGGACUCUUACUUCACGUACACUAACCUCGCAGUCGCCGGACUUUUGCCAGACAGAGUUAAUAGAGCUUUUGACGCUUCUAAAAAUAUUCUUAUUGCUUAAGCAGGAAAAGAUUCCAAAAUUCAGAAUUGAGCAUUCCAAGAAUCCGACCUGAUUCCCGUGCACACUUUGCGGUAAAUAAUUUAAGAUUCCGUUUCCAAACACGUAAGAACCGAACAUACCGAAAACCCGGUCCGAUUUCCAUGCUCACUUUGCGGUAAGGAAUUCAAGAAUAGACCGAAACUUGAGACUCAUAUUUCCACCCACACGACGGAGAAGGACUUCACUUAUGGGAGGAGCUUCGCCCUACAUACAGCCAUGAAAAAUCACGAGGUACAGAUAAAUAUGCUUCGCACACUUCUUUUUUCGUUAAAAUAAAAUUCAAAACUACAAGAUUUCCCUAAUAAAUUACCUUUUUUCUAUAAA